rnacentral:rRNA from 1 species
CAGCCAGCCGCGGUAACACGGAGGGUGCAAGCGUUAUCCGGAUUUAUUGGGUUUAAAGGGUCCGUAGGCGGAUCUGUAAGUCAGUGGUGAAAUCUCACAGCUUAACUGUGAAACUGCCAUUGAUACUGCAGGUCUUGAGUAAAUUUGAAGUGGCUGGAAUAAGUAGUGUAGCGGUGAAAUGCAUAGAUAUUACUUAGAACACCAAUUGCGAAGGCAGGUCACUAAGAUUUAACUGACGCUGAUGGACGAAAGCGUGGGGAGCGAACAGGAUUAGAUACCCCGGUAGUCCCUGUCUCUUAUA